GUCCACGCUGUAAACGAUGGGAACUAGGUGUGGCGGGUGUUGACCCCUGCCGUGCCGAAGCUAACGCAUUAAGUUCCCCGCCUGGGAAGUACGGCCGCAAGGUUAAAACUCAAAGGAAUUGACGGGGGCCCGCACAAGCGGUGGAGCAUGUGGUUCAAUUCGACGCAACGCGCAGAACCUUACCCGGUCUUGACAUCUUGGGAACCUUUCAGAGAUGAGAGGGUGCUCGCAAGAGAGCCCAAAGACAGGUGCUGCAUGGCUGUCGU
rnacentral:rRNA from 1 species